rnacentral:lncRNA from 1 species
AAUCCUAAUUAUGCUGCUGAAGAUUGUUGGAAUGGCAUGGAGAGGGCUCUUAACUUUGCUGAUAAUCAAGUGUUGAGAAAAUAUGGUUUUGUGCAUAACAGUCUCAUGGAUAAGGCUGUUUCACCUAUACCUUUUGAUUAUCCUGCUGUGUGAUACAAUAAGAUAAAUCCAUAUUUAUUCCUGUGUAUCUUAUUGUUAAGGUUAUUUUUUAGUUUUGUUUGAAAAGGUUAUUAUUAAUAAAAUAAUUAAGAGUAAAGUAAAAAUUUAUUGCCUGUCCCAAUUUGGUCCUAAAAAACUGAAAAACCCAAAGUAAAUAAGUAAUCCCAAAAAUAUCAAAUGCGAGUCAAAUUAAUCAUUUUAAACAUGUUUUAUGACAUUUGUUAUUAUAAGCAAAUGCAUUAAAAAUGGGCACAAGGGUACUAAUAUCAAAUGCCAUGAUGAUUAAGCAAAUAUAAGUCAAAAUAGUCUAUAUCAUAUGUCAUAAAUUGAGUAUUAUAUCAUCAUUCACAUAAUUGAGUACUAGUUUUUUAUUUUUUGGACAUCAAAUCAGUAUACACUAAAAUUUCUAAGGAUUAAAGUGUGUAUUCACUCAAUAAUUAAAAACACAAUAAUUUAGUUGGCUGCAUUUAAUGAUCAAGCCAAAUUUAAGGUCCAAGUCUUUAAUGGAACAUUUAAAAUAUAAAUAAUAAAAAAAUUACCAGUAGCUAUAAUAAAAUAAAAAAAUAUAACUAUACUGAAUUAUUUAUUUAUGAAAUAAAAAUAUAGUUUUUUUAAAUGUGUAAAAGUUGAUAGUAAUAUUUGAAUGAUUCAUAGGGUUCUGUUAUGAAACCCAUAAGAAGAUAAGACAAUCCGCACCUCUACACAAUUGAACAAGUUACACUACCAUACGCUACCCAAUACAAAAAAACAAAUGAACGCAUUCUUAAAAAUGGCAUCAUCACAAGAAGAACACACACAGCAUCACAAUAAGAACUCUCACACCAUCACAAGAAGAACACACACAUGGCUUCAAAGUUCAAUUCUAGAAGCAAACCCUCACCAUUGCUCUCAAAUGGUUGCAUCUUCCUUGGAGGAGCAUUAUCAACACUUCUCCUAGUUUGGGGUUUAUGCUCCUUCAUCAUUCCAAUUCCAAACUCCGACCCCAAACUCGACUUAGUAGCUACAAAACUAAAAUCACUAAAUUGCACCACUGACACCAUCACCAUUGUGGCACCCGAUACGUUGCAUGAUGCACUUGAAAGAACCUUUUAUGAUGAUCCUGAAAUGGCUUACACCAUGGACAAUCCAAUGAAAAAUUGGGAUGAGAAGCGUUUGGAGUGGCUACAACAUCAUCCAUCAUUCUUAGCAGGAGCACGAGAAAGGGUGCUUCUCGUGACAGGGUCACAACCCUCACGGUGCCGCAACCCUAUUGGGGAUCAUCUUCUCUUAAGAUUUUUUAAGAAUAAAGUUGAUUAUUGUCGAUUACAUAACUAUGAUAUAUUCUAUAACAAUGUGUUGAUCCAUCCAAAGAUGAACAUUUAUUGGGCCAAGUAUCCGAUGGUUCGGGCCACCAUGAUGGCCCACCCAGAGGUUGAGUGGGUUUGGUGGGUCGACUCGGAUGCGGUCUUCACUGACAUGGAGUUUAAGCUCCCACUGAACCGUUACAAGAACCAUAAUCUUGUGGUUCAUGGUUGGGAGGAGCUUAUACACCUUAAUCGUAGCUGGACUGGGCUAAACGCUGGCGUUUUUUUGAUGAGGAAUUGCCAGUGGUCAUUGGACUUUAUGGACGCGUGGACCAGCAUGGGCCCACAAUCACCAGAGUAUGAGAAAUGGGGUGAGGUCCAAAGAUCCACAUUCAAGGACAAGGUACGUAUACUACAAUAGAUCCUCUUAAUUUUAGUCUAAGCAUAUCACAUGUGACAGAAUUUGAUUUUAACGAUAAUUACCUAAUAUUAGAUAUUAAUAUGUGGCAUGUGAUCGCUGCUUUUUACAUUAUUAUUUUAAUUUUUUUAUAACAAACUCAUUAUAUGGUAUGUGCCAUGUUAAAUUCAGUAUGCAUUACAUAAACUAAUUGAAUUUUUUUUAUAUAAUUAUCAUUCAAACUAUUUCUCAUCCCAUCUUUUGGUAUUAAGUAUGCAUAUUUUUAGAAGUACCAUUCUCUAUAUUUUCCGCCCAUUCCAUAAAGUAAACACGACUACACUAAGUACUAGCUAUGAUUUCAACAAUUUCUCUUUUAUGUAUAAACCAUGUAUACCUUACUGAUGACAUAUCAUUAUCAUGCAUUGGAAAAAGUUGUUUGUUCAAGUCACAUUUGUCAUCCUAGAAAUGAAUUUUUGUAUCUAUAAUUAAUACUACUGUCAUAUAAAAAUGUACAUAAUUACAUUCAUUUUUUUGUUGCAAUAAUCUCAUUCUUAUUUUGAUUAUAAACUAAUAUUGUUAUGUCAUGUUCGGUAUAAUUUUUAAUUGACAUAUAAUGAAAUUUUUGAGAAGUCUUAAGAAUGAUUUAAAUAUAUGAUAGAUUAAUUUAUUUUAUUCUGUUUUUUCUCUUCAACUCUUCACCUGGUCUAACACAUGCUGAAAAAUAAGAUUGAUAUUGUUUAUUAUAUUAUUUUAUACAUGAUUUAAACACAUGUUGAAUUAUUUCUCUGAUUAUUAAUUGAUUUUGAGAUUUAACCUUAACCCAAAUUAGAACCAAAAUGAAUUUUUUCUUUAUGGAAAACUAAUAUAAUCUAAACCUCCAUAAGGUGAUGCCAGAGUCAGAUGACCAAACAGCCCUUGCUUACCUGAUAGCAGUAGAGAAGGACAAGUGGACAAACAAGAUAUACUUAGAGGACAACUACUACUUCGAAGGUUAUUGGUUAGAGAUUGAAAAAACAUACAACAACAUAAGCAAGAAAUACAAUGAGUUAGAGAGACAAGUGAAAGGGUUAAGGAGAAGACAUGCAGAAAAGGUAAGUGAAACUUAUGGUGCAAUGAGAGAAGGGUACCUUAAUAAUAUAGGGCAGUGGAGGAGGCCAUUUAUCACUCACUUCACUGGGUGUCAACCAUGUAAUGGGCACCAUAAUCCUAAUUAUGCUGCUGAAGAUUGUUGGAAUGGCAUGGAGAGGGCUCUUAACUUUGCUGAUAAUCAAGUGUUGAGAAAAUAUGGUUUUGUGCAUAACAGUCUCAUGGAUAAGGCUGUUUCACCUAUACCUUUUGAUUAUCCUGCUGUGUGAUACAAUAAGAUAAAUCCAUAUUUAUUCCUGUGUAUCUUAUUGUUAAGGUUAUUUUUUAGUUUUGUUUGAAA